rnacentral:rRNA from 1 species
GGAGUCUGGGCCGUGUCUCAGUCCCAAUGUGGCCGUCCACCCUCUCAGGCCGGCUACCGAUCGUCGCCUUGGUGGGCCGUCGCCCCGCCAACAAGCUAAUCGGACGCGGGCCCAUCGGAAAGCGGAUUGAAUCCUUUAGUACAAGAAGCAUGCGCCUCUCGUACAACAUUCGGUAUUAGCACCCCUUUCGGGAUGUUGUCCCCAUCUUUCCGGCAGGUUGCCCACGCGUUACUCACCCGUUUGCCACUAGGCUUUAAAAAGCAAGCUUUCUAUCGCCCCGUUCGACUUGCAUGUGUUAAGCACGCCGCCAGC